AGAAAAAAACAAGCAAAAGAAACAAAAAAAAAGCAAUAUCUAAAAGAGAACAGAAAAAUGAAAAAACGCAACACCCACUCGCCAACUUGGAGUUGUUGCUCUUGGUGCACAUACAAUUGAGUGCUUGGAAAACAAUUUUUGUUGCUCGCAAGAUGAAGACACAACCGCUACUGCAUGCAAGACAUGUGAAGACAAAGCCUGUACAAUGGAUUCCGUGGGUCAAAUCCUGAGUCGACAAGAUAAUGAUGGAUGCUAUACAAAGGAGAAAAAGAAAGCAUAUGAAACAAUGAAACCAAAGAGAAUAUCAAAGGAGGUGAUACUUCGUCGAAUGGAAGGAAAGAAACAACUGAAAGAACAAGAGAAGCUGCUUCAAAAGCCGAAGGUGCUGAGAUGAAAAAAUAUAAGAAGGAGAUGCAGAAGUGGGAAAUGCGGAAAUAUACUCUAAAAACUGGGAUCAAGUGGAAGUAGGAUCUUUCUUUAUUUGUCUUUCUUUCUUUCUUCUUCCUUUGGAAUCCACUCACCGCCUUCAAGGCGCCUAAGCUGUUUUUUCGCUUUUGUAGCUUAUGAUAUCUGCUCACAAGUUUUGCAGAAAAAGGGCCUAGAUAUUGCACAACGUCAAACCCCAUGUUGUAUGGAGUACGGUAGUUCCUGAAUAAACUUAUGUGAUUUCUGAAUAUGCCUAGGAGACCAGCACAAGAGGACUAGGAAGCAAGUGAGGAAAAGCAAUAUCAACAAAAGAAGAAAAAAGAAACGAAGAAAAAAAGAAUAUCCGCGAAAAAAGAAGAAAAAGAAACAGAAAAAAAAAAGCAAUAUCCACAAGAAAAAAAAAAGAAACAGAACAAAAGCAAUAUAUUUAAAAAAAAAGCAAUAUCCAAAAGAGGAAAGAAAAAUAAAAAAAAGCAGCAUCCACUCGCCAACUUUGAAUUGUUGCUCUUGAUGCACAUAUAAUUGAGUGCUUGGAAAACAAUUUUUGUUGCUCGCAAGAUGAAGACACAACCGCUACUGCAUGCAAGGCAUGUGAAGACAAAGCCUGUAUAAUGGAUUCUGUGGGUCAAAUCCUGAGUCGACAAGAUAAAGAUGGAUGCUGUACAAAAGAGAAAAAGAAAGCAUAUGAAACAAUGAAACCAAAGAGAAUUUCAAAGGAGGAGAUACUUCGUCUAAUGGAAGAAAAGAAACAACUGUAAGAUGCUGCAAUUAUAUGUGCCUAGGCAAGUGAUGCAGCAUCAUUUUCAGGUAUAAGUGAUAUACUGGUGGUUGAGGCUUUUUCUUGAUAUGAAGGUGGUUGUCAAUGAUGAAUAGGGAGCUACUCUAAGCAGGAUGGAAUCUGAACGCUUGAUUGAAGGCACAGCUUGUGAUACUCAACAGAGUUCCUACACAGUUUCUUGCAAAGAAUUAUAAGGAAAAGGUCAAAUCCUGAGUCGACAAGAUAAAGAUCGAUGCUAUACAAAAGAGAAAAACAAAGCAUAUGAAACAAUGAAACCAAAGAGAUUAUCAAAGGAGGAGACACUUCGUCUAAUGGAAGGAAAGAAACAAUUGAAAGAACAAGAGAAGCUGCUUCAAAAGCCGAAGGUGCUGAGAUGAAAAAAUAUAAGAAGGAGAUGCUGAAGUGGGAAAUGGGGAAAUAUACUCUAAAAUCCAUUGUAGCUGAAAUUGACAAAAAAGUGGUUGAAUUGGGAUCAUGUGGAGCUUAGGAUAUCUGGUCACAAGGUUUGCAGAAAAAGGGCCUACAUAUUGCACAACGUCAAACCCCAUGGAAAGAACUAUUGUAUGGAGUACGAUAGUUCCUUGAGAAACUUAUGUGAUUUCGAUGAUGCAUUUGGAGACAUGCACAAGAAGCAAAGAAAAAAUGGAAUAUCCGCAAAAAAAAAAAAGAAAAAGAAACACAAAAAAGCUAUAUAUACAAAAAAACAAUAGGAAGAAAAAAAGAAAAAUAUGCAAUAUCUACAAGAGAAAAGAAAUAGAAAAAAGCAAUAUCCACUCGCUCACUGGAGUUGUUGCUCUGGAUGCAGAGACAAUUGAGUGCUUGGAAAACAAUUUUUGCAGCUCGUAAGAUGAAGACACGACCUACGAUCUUGUUGCAUGCAAAGCUAUAGUGUUGUUUUGGAGCUUGCCCAAGAAGCUUCCCAUCUAGCAGAUUGGGUACGUCAUGAAAACAUUGCUGCCAUCUUUUCACUGACCAUACUGGAAUAUGUGAGUGGGUGACAUGUUGAUGGCAGGUAGGAUAUUUCAAAAUAUUUUUUGAUCCUUAGUAUUCGUUUGACAUGCCUGUGACUAGUUUCUUUCAGUGCUAUCCAAGAGAGAGAAUUUUCAUUGAUAAGGCUUGAUGCCAUCUUAUAACCUACCAUACAGAUAUAUGUGAAUUAAUGUAGAUUCCAUUGUUUAUUUUAUUAUCCUAUUUAAAUGGUCAAAUUGAUGAUUUCUUAGGCAUGUAAGACAAAGCCUGUACAAUGGAUUUUGUGGGUCAAAUCCUGAGUCGACAAGAUAAAAAUGGAUGCUAUACAAAAGAGAAAAAGAAAGCAUAUCGUAGAAUGAAUUCUAUAUCUAUUUCCUUACUAUUUAUAUCCUGCCAAAUUUAUUAAAAUAUUUUCAAAUCAAAUAAUAAGUCAAAUUUAAAA